UACGUAGGUGGCAAGCGUUGUCCGGAAUUAUUGGGCGUAAAGCGCGCGCAGGCGGUCCUUUAAGUCUGAUGCGAAAGCCCACGGCUCAACCGUGGAGGGUCAUUGGAAACUGGGGGACUUGAGUGCAGAAGAGGAGAGUGGAAUUCCACGUGUAGCGAUGAAAUGCGUAGAGAUGUGGAGGAACACCAGUGGCGAAGGCGACUCUCUGGUCUGUAACUGACGCUGAGGCGCGAAAGCGUGGGGAGCAAACAGG
rnacentral:rRNA from 1 species